rnacentral:misc_RNA from 1 species
UACGGAGGGUGCAAGCGUUGUCCGGAAUCAUUGGGUGUAAAGGGUGCGCAGGCGGGCGUGUAAGUCAGGGGUGAAAGCCACCGGCCUAACCGGUGAACUGCCCUUGAUACUGCACGUCUUGAGUCCCGGAGAGGCUAUCAGAAUUCGUGGUGUAGCGGUGAAAUGCGUAAAUAUCGCGAGGAAUACCAGAAGCGUAGGCGGAUAGCUGGACGGGUACUGACGCUCAGGCACGAAAGCGUGGGGAGCGAACAGG